UACGUAGGGGGCAAGCGUUAUCCGGAUUUACUGGGUGUAAAGGGAGCGUAGACGGCGGUGCAAGCCAGAAGUGAAAGCCCGCAGCUCAACUGCGGGACUGCUUUUGAAACUGCCAGGCUAGAGUGUCGGAGAGGUAAGUGGAAUUCCUAGUGUAGCGGUGAAAUGCGUAGAUAUCAGGAGGAACACCGGUGGCGAAGGCGGCUUACUGGACCAUAACUGACGUUGAGGCUCGAAAGCGUGGGGAGCGAACAGG
rnacentral:rRNA from 1 species